GGAGGAUUAGCUCAGCUGGGAGAGCACCUGCCUUACAAGCAGGGGGUCGGCGGUUCGAUCCCGUCAUCCUCCAUCA
rnacentral:tRNA from 4 species